rnacentral:rRNA from 1 species
GCUCAGGACGAACGCUGGCGGCGCGCCUAACACAUGCAAGUCGAACGAGCGAGAGAGAGCUUGCUUUCUUGAGCGAGUGGCGAACGGGUGAGUAACGCGUGAGGAACCUGCCUCAAAGAGGGGGACAACAGUUGGAAACGACUGCUAAUACCGCAUAAGCCCACGGCUCGGCAUCGAGCAGAGGGAAAAGGAGCAAUCCGCUUUGAGAUGGCCUCGCGUCCGAUUAGCUAGUUGGUGAGGUAACGGCCCACCAAGGCAACGAUCGGUAGCCGGACUGAGAGGUUGAACGGCCACAUUGGGACUGAGACACGGCCCAGACUCCUACGGGAGGCAGCAGUA